rnacentral:rRNA from 1 species
GGGGGGGGGGGGGGGGGGGGGGGGGGGGGGGGGGGGGGGGGGGGGGGGGCGGCGGGUGUGGGGUGGGCGGGGGGCGGGCGGGUGGGUGGCACGUGGGGAAGCUGCCCUGGACUUUGGGAGAGCUUCCGGGAGCUGGGGCUAAUACCGGAUAGGAGCUCCUGCUGCAUGGUGGGGGUUGGACAGUUUCGGCGGGUGGGGAUGGACUCGCGGCUUAUCAGCUUGUUGGUGGGGUAGUGGCUUACCAAGGCUUUGACGGGUAGCCGGCCUGAGAGGGUGACCGGCCACAUUGGGACGGAGAUACGGCCCAGACUCCUACGGGAGGCAGCAGUGGGGAAGAUUGCACAAUGGGCGGAAGCCUGAUGCAGCAACGCCGCGUGCGGGAUGACGGCCUUCGGGUUGUAAACCGCUUUCGCCUGUGACGAAGCGUGAGUGACGGUAAUGGGUAAAGAAGCACCGGCUAACUACGUG